UGCUGGCUUCAUCUGAGAAUGAAGUGACUCAGCCUUGGUCUUGCAGAAUGGCCCCGGCAAGGGUGUCCCUGUGUGAGCAGUAGCAGCUCCCAGUGUCAGCUGUGGAGAUGGGGACUGGGACCAGGGCAUGCCCUGCCGUGUGCCCUUGUGUCCCAGGUGCUUUGCCUCCUCCCUGUGCCAUGGUACCAAAGCAGCUCCCACCCAUGGUGUUCCCCUGUUUCACUGGCUCCCCAUGUCCCUGGCUGUUCCUAACUCCAGAGAUUGUGUCACCAAAGCCCCCUUGUGCAGGCAGCCCAGCGCUGGGUCUGGGAGGUGGUGGCAGGAGCUGUGCCAGCCGCCGUCGCUGGCUUGUUUGCUUCAGUGCCAGUUCAUUAAUAUCAAAGAGCUAAUUAGGAUUCUGCAGCCCUUCCCACUCGGCCCUCUCCUUCGGAGGCUGGAGGAUACUUGUUGUCUGCAGGAUUUUGCUGCAGCCCUGUUAAAAGGAUUCAACCCUGCUCUGUCCCGGCCUGGAGGACUUUCAACAAAAUUUACCCAGAACUGGGGAUGCUGUCUCUGGGACAGGGCAGCGAUGUUGCUCCAUCUUGCUUCAGGUCCGGCAAAGAGCAGCCCAGGGUCUUACUUCCUGGAGGACGGCUUUGUCCCAUGGCAAAUACAAUCCACAAAAGAUC